rnacentral:rRNA from 1 species
AGUGAACGCUGGCGGCAUGCCUUACACAUGCAAGUCGAACGGUAACGGGCCUUCGGGUGCCGACGAGUGGCGAACGGGUGAGUAAUGUAUCGGAACGUACCUUUCAGUGGGGGAUAACGUAGCGAAAGUUACGCUAAUACCGCAUAUUCUGUGAGCAGGAAAGCAGGGGAUCGCAAGACCUUGCGCUGAUUGAGCGGCCGAUAUCAGAUUAGCUAGUUGGUGAGGUAAAGGCUCACCAAGGCGACGAUCUGUAGCGGGUCUGAGAGGAUGAUCCGCCACACUGGAACUGAGACACGGUCCAGACUCCUACGGGAGGCAGCAGUGGGGAAUUUUGGACAAUGGGGGCAACCCUGAUCCAGCCAUGCCGCGUGCAGGAUGAAGGCCUUCGGGUUGUAAACUGCUUUGUUACGGAACGAAAAGACUACUGGUUAAUACCUGGGUCCGAUGACGGUACCGUAAGAAUAAGCACCGGCUAACUACGUGCCAGCAGCCGCGGUAAU